CGCGUCCGUACGUACGUGCGCGCUUGUGUGUGUUUUCGUGCUACAUAAGUGUAUCGAGUGUCAUUGGCCACGUGCGUUCGUAUAUAUGUUGGAAGCCCGUAGAGUUGGAAGCAUUCAUCACACAGUGCUGACCUUGUACUUAGACUCUAGCAGAAUCUAUAUGUUAUCAUCGUAAGUCUAGAUGCAAGUGUUUCACGUGUUGGGACACAAGCGUUGUAUAUGCGUCGGCCUGCAAGUGUUCAUUGCGUCGUCACAUAAGUAUAUCCGACAAGAAUACCCCGUGCAUUCGUGGAGUUCGCCAGAGGGCAGCACUUGUAGCUGGCAACAUGAUAGCAGCGCCACCUAGGAGCAAUCAGUGACGCAUCUGCAUCGUCCAGUAGCAAGCGUGAUUGCCUUCUAGAAGCUACGGACGCAAUGCAAGACGUGGCGCGACCGUCUCACCCUGACAGAUUUCUCUCGCCAGUGCAACCGCGAGCGUACACAGGAGACUUGGCAUCUCAGCUGUUAUGACGCCGAUGAAGGGCGAAUGCGCGUCAUACCUGAAAAGAAGCAGGUGAGAACAGACAUGAGAAACACACCUGUCGUGAGUAGGAAUUGCGGACGGAUGAUAUGUUCGGCCACCACCGCGCUGCGAGCUAAUGUGUUUACGACACCGUGUGCUGCCGAGAGGUGCUGCCGUGUGCAGACGAACGCAGUUUCCUGUGGUCUAUGACGAGGAGAGAGGAGCGUGGAACA